rnacentral:rRNA from 1 species
UACGUAGGGGGCAAGCGUUGUCCGGAUUUAUUGGGCGUAAAGAGCGUGUAGGCGGCUAGAUAGGUCCGUUGUGAAAACUCGAGGCUCAACCUCGAGACGCCGGUGGAAACCAUCUAGCUAGAGUCCGGAAGAGGAGAGUGGAAUUCCUGGUGUAGCGGUGAAAUGACGCAGAUAUCAGGAAGAACACCCGUGGCGAAGGCGGCUCUCUGGGACGUGACUGACGCUGAGGAGCGAAAGCCAGGGGAGCAAACGGG